rnacentral:rRNA from 1 species
AGGGCGCACGGUGGAUGCCUUGGCACUAGAAGCCGAAGAAGGACGUGACAAACGACGAAAUGCUUUGGGGAGCUGUAAGUAAGCGACGAUCCAGAGAUGUCCGAAUGGGGGAACCCACUAGCUAAUGGCUAGUACUCCUAUCUGUUAAGGAUAGGUAGAGGAAGACGCAGUGAACUGAAACAUCUAAGUAGCUGCAGGAAGAGAAAGCAAAAGCGAUUGCCUGAGUAGCGGCGAGCGAAACGGCAGGAGGGCAAACCGAAGAGUUUACUCUUCGGGGUUGUAGGACUGCAAUGUGGACUUAAAGAUUAUAGAAGAAUGACAUGGGAAGGUCAGCCAAAGAGAGUAAGAGCCUCGUAUUCGAAAUAGUCUUUAUACCUAGCAGUAUCCUGAGUACGGCGGGACACGAGAAAUCCCGUCGGAAUCUGGGAGGACCAUCUCCCAACCCUAAAUACUCUCUAGUGACCGAUAGUGAACCAGUACCGUGAGGGAAAGGUGAAAAGCACCCCGGGAGGGGAGUGAAAUAGAACCUGAAACCGUGUGCCUACAACAAGUUCGAGCCCGUUAAUGGGUGAGAGCGUGCCUUUUGUAGAAUGAACCGGCGAGUUACGAUAUGAUGCGAGGUUAAGUUGAAGAGACGGAGCCGUAGGGAAACCGAGUCUUAAUAGGGCGCAUUAGUAUCAUGUCGUAGACCCGAAACCAUGUGACCUACCCAUGAGCAGGUUGAAGGUGAGGUAAAACUCACUGGAGGACCGAACCAGGGCACGUUGAAAAGUGCUUGGAUGACUUGUGGGUAGCGGAGAAAUUCCAAACGAACUUGGAGAUAGCUGGUUCUCUCCGAAAUAGCUUUAGGGCUAGCGUCGAUGUUAAGUCUCUUGGAGGUAGAGCACUGUUUGGGUGAGGGGUCCAUCCCGGAUUACCAAUCUCAGAUAAACUCCGAAUGCCAACGAGAUAUAAUCGGCAGUCAGACUGCGAGUGCUAAGAUCCGUAGUCGAAAGGGAAACAGCCCAGACCACCAGCUAAGGUCCCAAAAUAUAUGUUAAGUGGAAAAGGAUGUGGGGUUGCACAGACAACUAGGAUGUUAGCUUAGAAGCAGCUAUUCAUUCAAAGAGUGCGUAAUAGCUCACUAGUCGAGUGACCCUGCGCCGAAAAUGUACCGGGGCUAAAACAUAUUACCGAAGCUGUGGAUACCUUUAUAGGUAUGGUAGGAGAGCGUUCUAUGUGCGAAGAAGGUGUACCGUGAGGAGUGCUGGAGCGCAUAGAAGUGAGAAUGCCGGUAUGAGUAGCGAAAGACAGGUGAGAAUCCUGUCCACCGUAAGACUAAGGUUUCCAGGGGAAGGCUCGUCCGCCCUGGGUUAGUCGGGACCUAAGGAGAGACCGAAAGGUGUAUCCGAUGGACAACAGGUUGAUAUUCCUGUACUAGAGUAUAUAGUGAUGGAGGGACGCAGUAGGCUAACUAAACCAGACGAUUGGAAGUGUCUGGCCAAGCAGUGAGGUGUGAUAUGAGUCAAAUGCUUAUAUCUAUAACAUUGAGCUGUGAUGGGGAGCGAAGUUUAGUAGCGAAGUUAGUGAUGUCACACUGCCGAGAAAAGCUUCUAGCGUUAAUUAUACUCUACCCGUACCGCAAACCGACACAGGUAGUCGAGGCGAGUAGCCUCAGGUGAGCGAGAGAACUCUCGUUAAGGAACUCGGCAAAAUGGCCCCGUAACUUCGGGAGAAGGGGCGCUGACUUAUGGUCAGCCGCAGUGAAUAGGCCCAAGCAACUGUUUAUCAAAAACACAGCUCUCUGCUAAAUCGUAAGAUGAUGUAUAGGGGGUGACGCCUGCCCGGUGCUGGAAGGUUAAGAGGAGUGCUUAGCAAUAGCGAAGGUAUGAAUUGAAGCCCCAGUAAACGGCGGCCGUAACUAUAACGGUCCUAAGGUAGCGAAAUUCCUUGUCGGGUAAGUUCCGACCCGCACGAAAGGCGUAAUGAUUUGGGCACUGUCUCAACGAGAGACUCGGUGAAAUUUUAGUACCUGUGAAGAUGCAGGUUACCCGCGACAGGACGGAAAGACCCCAUGGAGCUUUACUGCAGUUUGAUAUUGAGUAUCUGUACCACAUGUACAGGAUAGGUAGGAGCCUAUGACCUCGGGACGCCAGUUUCGAGUGAGGCGUUGUUGGGAUACUACCCUUGUGUUAUGGCUACUCUAACCCAGAUAGGUUAUCCCUAUCGGAGACAGUGUCUGACGGGCAGUUUGACUGGGGCGGUCGCCUCCUAAAAGGUAACGGAGGCGCCCAAAGGUUCCCUCAGAAUGGUUGGAAAUCAUUCGCAGAGUG